AUUGAACGCUGGCGGCAGGCUUAACACAUGCAAGUCGAGCGAGCGGCGGACGGGUGAGUAAUGUCUGGGAAACUGCCUGAUGGAGGGGGAUAAAUACUGGAAACGGUAGCUAAUACCGCAUACCAUCAGCAGUGCCCAGAUGGGAUUAGCGAGUAGGUGGGGUAAUGGCUCACCUAAGCGACGAGCAAUAGCUGGUCUGAGAGGAUGACCAGCCACACUGGAACUUAGACACGGUCCAGACUCCUACGGGAGGCAGCAGUGGGGAAUAUUGCACACUGUGCGCGAGCCUGAUGCAGCCAUGCCGCGUGUGUGAAGAAGGCCUUCGGGUUGUAAAGCACUUGCAGCGAGGAGGCGUUACUCGCAGAAGAAGCACCGGCUAACUCCGUGCCAGCCGCCGCGGUAAUAC
rnacentral:rRNA from 1 species